rnacentral:rRNA from 2 species
CACCGGCGGCUCGAGUGGUAACCGUUAUUAUUGGGUCUAAAGGGUCUGUAGCCGGCCGGAUAAGUCUCUUGGGAAAUCUGGCAGCUUAACUGUCAGGCUUUCAGGAGAUACUGUCUGGCUCGAGGCCGGGAGAGGUGAGAGGUACUUCAGGGGUAGGGGUGAAAUCUUGUAAUCCUUGAAGGACCACCAGUGGCGAAGGCGUCUCACCAGAACGGACCUGACGGCAAGGGACGAAAGCUAGGGGCACGAACCGG